AUUCCAGAGUACGGCCAGACACGUGAAACCUGGUCGGAAUACGGGGGGACCACCCUCCAACCCUAAAUACUACCCAGUGACCGAUAGCGUAUAGUACUGUGAAGGAAAGGUGAAAAGCACCCCGGGAGGGGAGUGAAAAAGAACCUGAAACCCUGUGCCUACAAGCACCUAGAGCGCGUCAAAGCGUGAUAGGGUACUUUUUGUAGAACGGUCCGGCGAGCGAUUGUAUGCAGCAAGGUUAAGGACUUAAGGUCUGGAGCCGAAGCGAAAGCGAGUUUGAAAAGGGCGUUAAGUUGCAUAUAAUGGGCCCGAAACCGGGUGACCUACCCAUGGUCAGGUUGAAGUGGAAGUAAAAUUCCAUGGAGGACCGAACCGACCUCCGUUGAAAAGGCGGCGGAUGAACUGUGGGUAGCGGAGAAAUUCCAAUCGAACCCGGAGAUAGCUGGUUCUCCCCGAAAUAGUUUUAGGACUAGCCUCAAGUUAGAUACCUGGAGGUAAAGCACUGAAUAGCCUAGCGGCCGAGAGGUUAGCGAAGCUUAUCAAACUCAGAAUGCCAGAGUAUUGAUGCUUGGGAGUCAGACAGUGUCAGAUAAAUGUCAUUGUCAAAAGGGAAACAGCCCAGAUCUACAGCUAAGGUCCCAAAGUCAGGUUAAGUGGAAAACGAUGUGAAGAUACGCAGACAACCAGGAUGUUGGCUCAGAAGCAGCCACUCAUUCAAAGAGUGCGUAAUAGCUCACUGGUCGAGCGUCUUUGCGCGGAGAAUUUAACGGGGCUAAACCUGACACCGAAGCUUAGGCAGCAUGUUUACAUGCUGGGUAGGGGAGCGUUGUAUACGCGGUGAAACAGUAGCGCAAGCGGCUGUGGAGUGUAUAGAAGUGAGAAUGCCGGAAUGAGUAGCGCGAAUGCAGUGAGAAUCUGCAUGGCCGAAAGCCUCAGGUUUCUGGAGGAAGGUUCGUCCGCUCCAGGUUAGUCGGGAGCUAAGGUGAGGCCUAACGGCGUAGCCGAUGCACAGACGGUAGAGAUUCCGUCACCACCAAAAGAGUUAAACACAGGGACACAUAUGAAGUCUCGGAGCCGGGUGUUGGUUCCGGUAGCGAUCGAGGGAAGUUAGUACCGAAGUCCGGGAUGGAAGAUGGCGAGAAAAGCUGUGUGUAUUUCUGCGGUGCCCGUACCGCAAACCGACACAGGUAGGUAGGAAGAAGAUUCUAAGGCCAACGGGAGAAGGGUUGUUAAGGAACUCGGCAAAUUGACCCCGUAACUUCGGGAGAAGGGGUGCUGCAGCAAUGCAGCCGCAGAGAAUCGGCCCAAGCAACUGUUUACCAAAAACACAGGUUUGUGCUAAAUCGAAAGAUGACGUAUACGAGCUGACGCCUGCCCGGUGCUGGAAGGUUAAGAGGAGAUGUGCAAGCAUUGAAUCGAAGCCCCAGUGAACGGCGGCCGUAACUAUAACGGUCCUAAGGUAGCGAAAUUCCUUGUCAGGUAAGUUCUGACCCGCAUGAAAGGCGUAAUGAUUUGGGCACUGUCUCAACAGCCCGCCCGGCGAAAUUGUAGUACCGGUGAAGAUGCCGGUUACCCGCGACAAGACGGAAAGACCCCAUGGAGCUUUACUGUAGCCUAAUAUUGGGUUUCGAUGUUGCAUGCACAGGAUAGAUGGGACACUGGGAAGCAGGUGCUUUGGCGCUUGUGGAGUGGCCGUUGGGAUACCAUCCUUGCGAUAUUGGAAUUCUAACCUGCGCCUUUGAAUCAAGGCGGGGGACAUUGUUAGGUGGGCAGUUUGACUGGGGCGGUCGCCUCCUAAAGAGUAACGGAGGCGUUCAAAGGUUCGCUCAGCUUGAACGGAAAUCAAGCAAAAGAGUGCAAACGCAGAAGCGAGCCUAACUGCGAGACUGACGGGUCGAGCAGUAACGAAAGUUGGAGUUAGUGAUCCGGUGGUAUGUGAGUGGAAAUGCCAUCGCUCAACGGAUAAAAGUUACCCUGGGGAUAACAGGCUGAUCUCCCCCAAGAGUCCACAUCGACGGGGAGGUUUGGCACCUCGAUGUCGGCUCAUCGCAUCCUGGGGCUGUAUUCGGUCCCAAGGGUUUGGCUGUUCGCCAAUUAAAGCGGUACGCGAGCUGGGUUCAGAACGUCGUGAGACAGUUCGGUCCCUAUCUGUCGUGGGCGCAGGAUAUUUGAUGGGAGCUGUUCCUAGUACGAGAGGACCGGAGCGGACGUACCUCUGGCGCACCAGUUGUUCUGCCAAGAGCAUAGCUGGGCAACUAUGUACGGAUCGGAUAAACGCUGAAAGCAUCUAAGCGUGAAGCCGACCCAAAGAUAAGAUAUCCCAUUGUUUCAAACAAGUAAGACCCCUUGAAGACUACAAGGUUGAUAGGCACGAUGUGUAAGUGGAGCGAUUCAUUCAGCAAGCGUGUACUAAUAGGUCGAGGGCUUGACCACA
rnacentral:rRNA from 1 species